GGAGUCUGGUCCGUGUCUCAGUACCAGUGUGGGGGACCUUCCUCUCAGAACCCCUACUGAUCGAUGGCUCGGUGGGCCGUUACCCCGCCGACUACCUAAUCAGACGCAUCCCCAUCCCAUAGCGGUAAACCUUUAUUCCUCGUUAGAUGCCUGCAAAGGAAAACAUAGGGUAUUAAUCCGCAUUUCUACGGGCUAUGCCCUACUAUGGGGAAGGUUGGAUACGCGUUACUCACCCGUGCGCCGGUCGCCAUCACUGAUAGCAAGCUAUCAGUAUGCUGCCCCUCGACUUGCAUGUGUUAAGCCUGUAGCUAGCGUUCAUC
rnacentral:rRNA from 1 species